GGCUCAGUGGUCUAGGGGUAUGAUUCGCGCUUCGGGUGCGCGAGGUCCCGGGUUCGAAUCCCGGCUGCGCCC
rnacentral:tRNA from 1 species